ACGCCCGCUCAGAAACUUAAAGGAAUUGACGGGGACCCGCACAAGCGGUGGAUGAUGUGGUUUAAUUCGAUGCAACGCGAAAAACCUUACCCACCUUUGACAUGUACGGAAUCCUUUAGAGAUAGAGGAGUGCUCGAAAGAGAACCGUAACACAGGUGCUGCAUGGCUGUCGUCAGCUCGUGUCGUGAGAUGUUGGGUUAAGUCCCGCAACGAGCGCAACCCUUGUCAUUAGUUGCUACAUUUAGUUGGGCACUCUAAUGAGACUGCCGGUGACAAACCGGAGGAAGGUGGGGAUGACGUCAAGUCCUCAUGGCCCUUAUAGGUGGGGCUACACACGUGCUACAAUGGCAGGUACAGAGGGCUGCAAAGCCGCGAGGUAGAGCGAAUCCCAGAAAACCUGUCUCAGUCCGGAUUGAAGUCUGCAACUCGACUUCAUGAAGGCGGAAUCGCUAGUAACCGCGAAUCAGCAGGUCGCGGUGAAUACGUUCCCGGGCCUU
rnacentral:rRNA from 1 species